rnacentral:piRNA from 1 species
UGCCCUAGCCUCUCGCUCACUAUGGUGUC